CUCGUCCCUGGACAUCAGACGAUCGAUGGGGCUGGCACCACACCUCAGGACCCCUUCAAAGCCAGUCCACCACGUCCUGUCACCCCUCUUCCCUCGCAGCUUCUGGCUCUUGCAGCCUCCAGCCCCCACUCUGAGAUCCGGAGCCAAAGAAGGUGCAAGGACGAGGCAAGAAUGGGAAGCCGGACCAGCUUUAGGGAAGCUAGACCAGCCACAGAAGUGGCUUCCCACGCCUGCCUUCCCGAGCCAGGGGGCCCGUCAUGAAGAAGGCCCUCAGCACAGGGGCUUGGUUGGGGAUCUACAGGGGUGCACAGGCCCAGGCAGCACCCUCCCCCCGACCCCCAGCAGAAGUGGAGAACUCUCAGAACCUCAGACGUCUCCCCGUCCCACCUCUACCUGACUCUCGAGUUUUCCCCACCACAGUGCAACCCGGUGGAGGAUCCUCGUUAUAACCGUUCCCAUCCAUAUGCCUGCGUUAGGGGGCUGGACAGAUCAGCAAAGCUCAUCACAGUAUGAAAAUGAACCGUCCACUUAUAAAAUGCAGAGGCACUCGACUGCCUCCUCCACCCAACACGAAUGUACAUCUCUGCCCCCGACCCAGUCAGGAUCUCUGCUGACAACUUCUCACUGCUUCCCGAGGCCCAGCCACAUCCAGCAAGGCAGGGCCAACAUCACUGGGAACCAACUGAAAAGGGAAAUUACAAAUCUUGACAAAAGAUGUGAUGAAGUCCAUGCAAGUGAUGCUGGAAGCCUCCAGGGGUCACGUGGAAAGCCGCAAACAAAUGAGGAACAGGAAGAGUUAGUUCCGUGAACAACUGGAGAGGAGAAAAUAAACCUAAUGACACAAGAUAGUUUUCUUGUGGUGCAGUGGGUUAAGGAUCUGGCAUUGUCACCGCAGCAGCUGGGCUCACUGCUGUGCCGCGGGUUAGAGCCCCAGCCCAAGAACUUCCAUGUGCCACGAGGACCAAUAGUAAAAAUAAGAGUAAUGACACACGUGUUCCCUUUACAGAGAACUAUUUGGGUAAUCAGCUGACAAAGUCCUAAAAUGCUUUUAGAAAAACGACCUUGUUAAUUAGCACUCUUUACCAUAAUAAUAUCUAAAUGGGGAGGGAUUUUGAGGGAAAAAAAAAACAGCGCAAAUGUAAAUCGUUAUGGAAUUCUAUAUUUCAAAUGAAAGAACAGUAUAGUGUGUGAAUUAUAUUUCGAUAAAGCUGUUAUUAAAUUAAGUUGCGCUUUAUGACCUCACUGUGAAAUGAAGUAUGAAGGAAAGACAUCUCAUUGGGCCAUCAAACUAGGCCAAGAAAAUUAGACCUCCUCCUACACUAUCUUAAAUAAAAUGAAAUAAAUGUAUUUAUCUAA